rnacentral:rRNA from 1 species
UACGGGGGGGGCAAGCGUUUGUUCGGAAUUACUGGGCGUAAAGGGCUCGUAGGCGGCCAACUAAGUCAGACGUGAAAUCCCUCGGCUUAACCGGGGAACUGCGUCUGAUACUGGUUGGCUUGAAUCCGGGAGAGGGAUGUGGAAUUCCAGGUGUAGCGGUGAAAUGCGUAGAUAUCGAGAGGAACACCUGCGGCGAAGGCGGGUAGCUGGGCCGACACUGACGCUGAUGCGCGAAAGCCAGGGGAGCGAACGGG